rnacentral:rRNA from 1 species
UGGGGAAUAUUGGACAAUGGGCGAAAGCCUGAUCCAGCAAUGCCGCGUGUGUGAAGAAGGCCCUAGGGUUGUAAAGCACUUUCAGUAGAGAAGAAAAGCCUAAGGUUAAUACCCUUGAGUCUUGACGUUACCUACAGAAGAAGCACCGGCUAACUCUGUGCCAGCAGCCGCGGUAAUACAGAGGGUGCGAGCGUUAAUCGGAAUUACUGGGCGUAAAGGGCGCGUAGGCGGCCUGAUAAGUCGGAUGUGAAAGCCCCGGGCUUAACCUGGGAAUUGCAUUCGAUACUGUCAGGCUAGAGUAUGGUAGAGGGAAGCGGAAUUCCGGGUGUAGCGGUGAAAUGCGUAGAUAUCCGGAGGAACAUCAGUGGCGAAGGCGGCUUCCUGGACCAAUACUGACGCUGAGGCGCGAAAGCGUGGGGAGCAAACAGG